UAGGAUGAGGUGUGUUAGGUAGCACGGAGAAGUUUGGAUUCUCAGGAGUAGGUUCAAAACCUAUGAUCUUAG
rnacentral:tRNA from 1 species